rnacentral:rRNA from 1 species
GUCCUAAUCUAUGGGACCAUCAUGUGCGGCAUUUGCUACAGCUGAUCGGCAACCCUAGGAACUCUAGAAUCACCGCGUCGAUUGCGUAAUUCAGCUGGCGGACCCCUCAUGCCGGCGUUCCAAUUUUGAGUUUACUUAACUGCCCCCGGGCGUGUUCGCCACCUCGUACACCAAAUUAAGCUUCGUUGCGCUUCUUGGAAUGGUCCGGAACUGUACGUCUCUUGAAAGGUCUCUACCUAACCACGGAAGCCCUCGAGACUGUGUCCACGACGUACCGACAGCAGUCGAGCACAGCACUCUACAACCCAAUUCAGGGCAUUGCUCGCGUUGGGAACAGGAAUCAAUGGUCGUGCAAUUCCACCCGUGAGAUUCCUCUGACGGCCACUGUUUGGCCUCCUUCCACCCCUACUGCAGUUCAGUAGUACCGGGAAUGCCGGACCCGAUGUGUGCACGAUGUUACCAGCCAUGUUUCCCAACGGUUCGGCGCUCCACCUCGAUUAGGGUAUUUUGGCUAGCAUCAGGCCUAGCGUCAGACGUUGAGCUGACGCACUUCAGCCUUAGCGAUCAUUAGCACUUAGUCUUACAGUGCCACUUAUGCAAGGGCCCGGA